AUGAAUGCCGUAGACAGCAGGAGCCAACUGGCUUAAAUCUUCCUGCCGAGGUGAAGCAUCGAUAAGCUCAUUAGUUAAUUACUUAUGACUUUAGAUACUCACGCCUCCAUGUCUCGACAUGGAGGCUUUGUUUUUG
rnacentral:sRNA from 1 species